GAUCCCACAGACCGGGGAGGUGCGCGGAGAGAUGCCGGCCGGCCUAAGCACCCUGAAAAAAGUUUCCCAAGGCGCUCCACUUCUUUGCUCGACCAGAUCUCGAGGAGCGGCCGCCGGCCGGACGCGGGCCGUGAUUUAUACAUUAGAAUCCAGGGGGCACCAGGCUCCGCCCUUCUGGGUUUUUUUUUUAAUUUCCCGGUGGCUAGCGGGGGAGGAGGGGUUCUCUCUUUUUUUUUUUUGGCUUCUGCCCUAUAUCUUUCCUGGACAGUGUGUCUCAGCAGCCGAGAUCCGGAGGCCCCCAGCUGCUUGCGGAGGGCGUGGGGUGGUGCGUUAACCCCUCCCCGUCUCUUCCUAAAUGAGCCGCCCAGCCCCUGCGGUUUCGCCUCGCGGGCCAGCGCGGGCCGCCGCCAGCGGGGCUGGCCAUUGGAGUGUGCGGCUGUGGAGGGAGGGAACCCGGACUCGGCGAGGUUCGCCGGAGCGCGACGCCCUCAGUCGGGGGCAGCAAGAUGCCUAGAGCGCGGUGCCGGCGCGGAGCUCUCCCAGCGCAACUUCGUCCCGCCUGAGCUAGAUAACUACAAAUGUAGCUGUGUGGGAGCUGCUACUCUGGAAAAGCAACAUCCCUGGCAUUACAGGGGGAAAUCCUACAAAGUGAAGACCUGGAGUUCAAGUAAUUGUAAGUACUAGCAACUCCAAUUUCCAAUGAGAAGUAGAGGAGAGCACUGGACUGAGCCAUUAAAAAGUAUUCUAACUGAAAACUGGUAAAGAUUUGAUCAUGUGAUUCAAAAUUAAUCUCUAACUAGGAAUAAUUAUUGGCCCACAGUAUUUGUAAUAAAUGUUUCUGUGUAAUGUUCAGUUCUUUUUUUUUUUUAAAGGGAGUUUUAUUUUAUUUUUUAAGGGAGUAAAGAAUUUAUUAAGAAACAAGAAAACAAGAAAAGUACAUGGUCUGAGGCAUGUGCUGUGGGCCUACUGCAGGAUGAAUUGCAUGCAUGGGACCACAGAUGAGGGCUUUUAAAGUCUGCUUGCUGUUCUGAUUGGUUGCCCACCUGUCAUUUCUCAGGGAACCAUUGGUGAGGUCUUUUGAGGAUACCCAGGGCUUUCCCUUGACCAUGAAUGGGGUUCUCAUUCCAAAUGAGAUUCUCAUUCCAAGGUCUUGCAGGAUCCCUCAGGAGGUUGCUGGGUGGGGUCUCAUGGCCAUGUGGUCUGCCAGCCAUAUUGUUCAUCAGCCAUGUUGUCUGUCAGGUCUUCAGCUAUGACCCAAGUCUUUUCUUUCCCUAUCCUAAUCUGCCUCAACUCCCUCAUCAGAGUGUUUAUACCCUUAUUCUUUAGGGUGUACUAAAGGGUGAUGGUCAUUCUUCUGUAUCUACUUCCUGCUGGUUAGGGGGAGUAGGCCCUACCUGACAAGAUGUAAGACCUCUGGCUAUUGUAUCACAGUUGAGGGAAGACAGGUCUGGCACCCUGGUUGGAACUGGAUGAAAUCCUUGCAUGAAUAAUAAGGUGUUGAUUCUGUAAGAAAUAAAUUAAUUAACAUUUUGAAGAUAAAUGGCCCCACUAAAAGGAUAAAGAAGAUGGUGGUAGGUGGGCCCCAAAGGGGGCCAGCUAUGACAUGCUGAACCAAAAGAGUGAGUAAAAGCCAGGUGCCUUCAGAGGUUGCAUCCUUCCAAAGUUGAUGUGAAACAGCAUUCUUCCUUGAGUUCUUUUAUGCUCUUGGUUAACUUUAGGGAGAGAUUAUGCUAGACCUGCUUGGUUUGGGUAUAAACUGCCAACCCGAGUUCCCACAGCAAUGGUUACGCUUAAGACAGUUAAGACAAGUAUGAAGAGAGGCACUGCCUAAGACAUAAACUCACAAAGACAGUAUAGGCAAAAACAGGACAAGCAUAUGGCAAGCAAAAUAAAGACAGUACUUAAGAGAGCCAUUCCUUUAUCUUAUAGCUACAUUCAUUAACUACUUUGAAUAUUAAUUAUUAAUAAUUUUACCAGGACUUUUAACAUAUUCAAUAUCCCUCUGCCUAUGAUCUAGAAUAGAAAAAAUAUCAUUGUAAUCAUCAGGCAUAUAGGUACAUACUUAAUAUAAUCAACGAACAAGUUCCUCUUUGAACUGGCGUUAAUAGAUCUAAGCUCCAGGUUUGCAAUACCAUACAUGUUAUUUCUACAGUGGAGCAGGUGAUAAUGCCAACUAUGUUUCAGUUCUACUUACAUCAUUCUGAUAAACAUUGCUGCACUGCUAUUCCCUUCACAUGGCCAGCAUGCUGCAGUUGUA
ensembl:lincRNA